CCUACGGGAGGCAGCAGUGAGGAAUAUUGGUCAAUGGGCGCGAGCCUGAACCAGCCAAGUCGCGUGAGGGAGGACGGCCCUACGGGUUGUAAACCUCUUUUGCCGGGGAGCAACGGGCGCCACGUGUGGCGUCACUGAGAGUACCCGGAGAAAAAGCAUCGGCUAACUCCGUGCCAGCAGCCGCGGUAAUACGUAUGGUGCAAGCGUUAUCCGGAUUUACUUGGUGUAAAGGGAGCGCAGGCGGCACGGCAAGCCUGAUGUGAAAGCCAGCGGCCCAACCGCGGGACUGCAUUGGGAACUACCGGGCUGGAGUGCCGGAGAGGUAGGCGGAAUUCAUAGUGUAGCGGUGAAAUGCGUAGAUAUUAGGAGGAACACCAGUGGCGAAGGCGGUCUGCUGGACAGCAACUGACGGUGAGGCGCGAAAGCGUGGGGAGCAAACAGGAUUAGAUACCCGGGUAGUC
rnacentral:rRNA from 1 species